rnacentral:rRNA from 1 species
CCUACGGGUGGCAGCAGUGGGGAAUAUUGCACAAUGGGCGCAAGCCUGAUGCAGCCAUGCCGCGUGUGUGAAGAAGGCCUUCGGGUUGUAAAGCACUUUCAGCGGGGAGGAAGGCGGUGAGGUUAAUAACCUCAUCGAUUGACGUUACCCGCAGAAGAAGCACCGGCUAACUCCGUGCCAGCAGCCGCGGUAAUACGGAGGGUGCAAGCGUUAAUCGGAAUUACUGGGCGUAAAGCGCACGCAGGCGGUCUGUCAAGUCGGAUGUGAAAUCCCCGGGCUCAACCUGGGAACUGCAUUCGAAACUGGCAGGCUAGAGUCUUGUAGAGGGGGGUAGAAUUCCAGGUGUAGCGGUGAAAUGCGUAGAGAUCUGGAGGAAUACCGGUGGCGAAGGCGGCCCCCUGGACAAAGACUGACGCUCAGGUGCGAAAGCGUGGGGAGCAAACAGGAUUAGAACCCCAGUAGUC